UACGUAGGGUGCAAGCGUUGUCCGGAAUUAUUGGGCGUAAAGAGCUCGUAGGCGGUUUGUCGCGUCUGCUGUGAAAACUCAGGGCUUAACUCUGAGCUUGCAGUGGGUACGGGCAGACUAGAGUGCGGUAGGGGAGACUGGAAUUCCUGGUGUAGCGGUGAAAUGCGCAGAUAUCAGGAGGAACACCGGUGGCGAAGGCGGGUCUCUGGGCCGUAACUGACGCUGGAGGAGCGGAAAAGCCAUGGGGAGCGAACAGG
rnacentral:rRNA from 1 species